CAUUGCGCGUGCACUCAUUGCGCGUGCACUCAUUGCGCGUGCACCCAUUUACGUCCCGGGCAGCAGUACUUCAGUCAGUCGCCAGGCAGCAACAGCUAGUGGACACGUUCACCAUGGCAGAGUUAGGGUCAACAUCGUCUAUCGGUCGCAAAAGAAAAACUGUAAUGGAGUUAAUUAAGAAGAAGAAGAAAGGGGACACUAGGAGAAGUCAAACCAGAGUCAAUAUCGGAGUUGCUUUUCAACGAUGGCGACUAGUGAUGGAACACAACGAGCUGAAGUCUGACGCCAUGGUCGCCCUUUUUCUCUUGGACAGUUACGAGAGAGAUUUAUCAGGUCCCACACAGGCUGUGAAACCUGGAGUGCCGAGACCCCCCACCCCCCCCACCGUCUCCACCAGUUUGUCGGAGGAGCUUUCUGGAGAGAGAGGCGUCUGCAGGCAGUGGCAGGUACUUCCGGCCUCUGAUGCCACCACUUACCGUGUCUGCAAAGAGCUAGUUGAUGUCCAGCCUUACAAACUGUUUGCCAGUUCCCAAAAACAAUAAAAGGGUUGGAUAAAAAAAAACUUGAA